AUUGAACGCUGGCGGCAGGCCUAACACAUGCAAGUCGAGCGAGCGGCGGACGGGUGAGUAAUGUAGGGGGAUCUGCCCGAGAGAGGGGGAUAACUACUGGACACGGUGGCUAAUACCGCAUACUAUCGGAUGAACCCAUGUGGUUUUGGCUAGUAGGUGGGGUAAAGGCUCACCUAGGCGACGAUCUCUAGCUGGUCUGAGAGGAUGACCAGCCACACUGGGACUGAGACACGGUCCAGACUCCGACGGUAGGCAGCAGGGGGGAAUAUUGCACAAUGGGCGCAAGCCUGAUGCAGCCAUGCCGCGUGUGUGAAGAAGGCCUUAGGGUUGUAAAGCACUUUCAGCGGGGAGGCGUUACCCGCAGAAGAAGCACCGGCUAACUCCGUGCCAGCAGCCGCGGUAAUAC
rnacentral:rRNA from 1 species